GGUCCCUUCGCGCGCUGGAUUGUGCGCCCCCUUGGGUACCUGCCCUGUAACACGGAUAACAUACCGAAAGGUAUACUAAUACGGGAUAACAUACGAAAGUCGCAUGGCUUUUGUAUCAAAGCUCCGGCGGUACAGGAUGGACCCGCGUCUGAUUAGCUAGUUGGUAAGGUAAUGGCUUACCAAGGCAACGAUCAGUAGCCGACCUGAGAGGGUGAUCGGCCACACUGGAACUGAGACACGGUCCAGACUCCUACGGGAGGCAGCAGUGGGGAAUAUUGCACAAUGGGCGAAAGCCUGAUGCAGCAACGCCGCGUGAGCGAUGAAGGCCUUCGGGUCGUAAAGCUCUGUCCUCAAGGAAGAUAAUGACGGGACUUGAGGAGGAAGCCCCGGAUAACUACGUGCCAGUUGCCGCAGAAAUACGUAGGGGGCU
rnacentral:rRNA from 1 species